UACGUAGGGGCCGAGCGUUGUCCGGAGUUAUUGGGCGUAAAGCGCGCGCAGGCGGCCUCGCGCGCCCGACGUGAAAGCCCCCGGCUUAACCGGGGAGGGUCGUUGGGGACGGCGGGGCUUGAGGGCGGGAGAGGUCGGUGGAAUUCCCGGUGUAGUGGUGAAAUGCGUAGAGAUCGGGAGGAACACCUGUGGCGAAGGCGGCCGACUGGGCCGUACCUGACACUGAUGCGCGACAGCAUGGGGAGCAAACAGG
rnacentral:rRNA from 1 species